CGUUUUAUUGGUCAACGCUAACCAGAUUUACUACAUGUGACUAUAAUAAGAAUUGUUUUAGUUUUGUGUUGCAUGAAUUUACUGAUACGCGUAUUGGAUUUUGUGAUGAACGAAUAUAGGAAUUUUUUUUUAGAUAUUAAAAGCAAUCAAAAUAGAAGAGUUUGUGAGACAUUUCGCCAAAAAUUUAUUUGCAAAGUGAAUUUCUAACACAUCAUCUGUUCUUCAGAUGACAAAAAGUACGUUGAAAGUGAUCAAGGCCCACGUGUAUGGAGAACUAUCAAAGAGGCCUUCGAAAAGGACUGUAUGAAGAAAUCCGCGAAGUUUGCAUCGUCCGUCAUAAUCUAGAGGUGCGUGAAUGCUAACGGCGUAGGACAAUUUGCAUUCUUCGGGAACAUGUCAAUGCACAGAUAUAUCAAGACAUCUUAGAGACAUUUAUGAUACCAUCGGCAGAGGAUUUAGUUGAGGAAACAUUUCUAUUUCAACAAGACGGGGCAUUCUAUACA